CAAGGACUGCCAGCAGCCACCAGAAGCUAAGGAGAGGCAUGGAAUAAAUUCUCCCCCAGAGCGUCCAGAACCAACCCUGCCAUCACCUUGACUUCUGACUCCUAGCCUCCAGAAUUAUGAUCGUGUCCUCCAAUCAGAACCAAUGAAAUGCAAGAAGACUUUUUCUGACUGCUCUUUAGCAAUUGGGAAGAUAAGAGUCAUUUGCUGGCAAGGACCAUCUCAUGGAGUUCUAAGAAUGCAAUCAAAGAGGCAGAAAUCAGAGCCGGGAGAGACACCAAGCUCCAAUGACCAUGCCAUCCCAGAGAUGAUAACACAAUAAAGUAUCUUUGCAAGAACCGUGUUAGCACCUGUGCAAUGACUGGGAGGAACCCGAUGACACUGCCCUCAAGAAAAGAUCCUCAAAGCUUCAUGGAAGAUACUGCAAGGGAGCAGACUGGUAAAGAGGGAAAGCCCAGGAACUCACAAGAGGAAAGGAAAUGGAGAUGGCAGCAGCAGGGAGAGGCACAUUAGCCCCAAAAAGAUCCAUCUGGGAGAAUCAACUUCUCUGAAUUUGAAGAGUCUUCUGUGAUUUGCCAGAACUGUUGUGAUGAAGAUUUUUCUUGGACUACUAGGCAGCCAAGCAAUUCCAAACCCUCCUUGGGACAUCUACUUCCAUUCCUUCCACUGGGUUCUGUCUGAGAGCCUGCAACCGGCAUCUCGUGCAGAUUUCAAAAUCGAAAUUCAGCAUUAUCGUAAUUACACAGAAAUAGCAUCAUAAUAUAUUGUCGUGGUUUGUUCUGUCUCAUUUGUAUUGCCAAAAAUUUUUUUUUUGUGGCCCAAGUCCCACUGAAUAGACAUCCUUACUGCACUGCCUUCAUUUUGUCAUGAACUUAUUUUUCCUGAGAAGUUUAAUUUAAGAGUUAAUAUCAAGGACUUUUCUG
rnacentral:lncRNA from 1 species